rnacentral:rRNA from 1 species
AGCGAGUCUGCCUUGAAGAUCGGAGUGCUCGCACUCUGUGAAACAAGAUACAGGCUAGCGGCGGACGGGUGAGUAACACGUGGGUAACCUGCCCAAGAGAUCGGGAUAACACCUGGAAACAGAUGCUAAUACCGGAUAACAACAGAUGAUGCCUAUCAACUGUUUAAAAGAUGGUUCUGCUAUCACUCUUGGAUGGACCUGCGGUGCAUUAGCUAGUUGGUAGGGUAACGGCCUACCAAGGCGAUGAUGCAUAGCCGAGUUGAGAGACUGAUCGGCCACAUUGGGACUGAGACACGGCCCAAACUCCUACGGGAGGCAGCAGUAGGGAAUCUUCCACAAUGGACGCAAGUCUGAUGGAGCAACGCCGCGUGAGUGAAGAAGGGUUUCGGCUCGUAAAGCUCUGUUGUUGGUGAAGAAGGACAGGGGUAGUAACUGACCUUUGUUUGACGGUAAUCAAUUAGAAAGUCACGGCUAACUACGUGCCAGCAGCCGCGGUAAUACGUAGGUGGCAAGCGUUGUCCGGAUUUAUUGGGCGUAAAGCGAGUGCAGGCGGCUCGAUAAGUCUGAUGUGAAAGCCUUCGGCUCAACCGGAGAAUUGCAUCAGAAACUGUCGAGCUUGAGUACAGAAGAGGAGAGUGGAACUCCAUGUGUAGCGGUGAAAUGCGUAGAUAUAUGGAAGAACACCGGUGGCGAAGGCGGCUCUCUGGUCUGUUACUGACGCUGAGGCUCGAAAGCAUGGGUAGCGAACAGGAUUAGAUACCCUGGUAGUCCAUGCCGUANACGAUGAGUGCUAAGUGUUGGGAGGUUUCCGCCUCUCAGUGCUGCAGCUAACGCAUUAAGCACUCC